GGCGCUCCAGGCCAGGGGCCGAACGGCGGCCGGACAGCCCGCCCCGGGACUGGAGCCUACCUUGGACCCAGAGCCGCGGCAGGAUCCGCUCCGAGACUGGGCCGCAGGCCCAGGGGGUGGGCGCAGGCCGCUGAGAGAUCGAGGCGCUCCGCGCACCCGAAGGAAACUCCAGACAGAGGAGGCAGACACAAGGAUGGGACUGCCCGAGGCUCGGGAUGGGGUCCUGAGCACUUCCGGAACCGGCUGGCUCCAGCUGCCUCCAGCAUCCUUGUGGGAUGUGGUUCCUCCCCCCAUCCAAGCCGGAUUGCACCUUGGUACAAGCUGCGGCAGAGGCGUAGCUUGAUGGAGGGUAGAUUGGGCAGCCAGCACCGCGGUUUAUUCACUGACUGUGACUUCUUCAAAAGAGACAAGGGGAUACUCAUGGAGGACAUUCAGGCUGUGUGUGCCCGGCCCUGGAUGUUCACUUGGAGUCGACUACAGACAGCCCCUGAGGCCCAGUGGGGCCUCCUCUCUCUUCUGAGGAACUGAGGCCUGGGGGAGGGCAGGUAUCUUGCCUAAGGACUUGCCUCUUCAGGAGAAGCCUCCAGGCUGCUGUAUGGUCUGAACGUUUGUGUCCCCUUAAAACCCAUGUUGAAACUUAACUCCCAAAGUGAUGAUAUUAGGAGGUGGAAACUCUGGGAGCUGCUUAGGUUGUAAGGAUCAGAUUCUCUUGAGUGGGAUAGGUGCUGUCAUAAAAGAUACCCCGUAAAUUAUAUCUCAAUAA
ensembl:lncRNA